UGGGAAGAAAGUUGUGAAAGCAACCUGACGGUACCAGAGGAAUCAGCAUCGGCUAACUUCCGUGCCAGCAGCCGCGGUAAGACGGAGGAUGCAAGCGUUAUCCGGAAUGAUUGGGCGUAAAGCGUCCGCAGGUGGCAGUUCAAGUCUGCUGUCAAAGACCGGGGCUUAACUUCGGAAAGGCAGUGGAAACUGAACAGCUAGAGUAUGGUAGGGGCAGAGGGAAUUCCUGGUGUAGCGGUGAAAUGCGUAGAGAUCAGGAAGAACAUCGGUGGCGAAGGCGGCUUGCUGGACCAUUUCUGACGCUGAGGCGCGAAAGCGUGGGGAGCGAUCCGGAUUAGAUACCCGGGUAGUCCACGCCCUAAACGUUGAGGACUAGGUGUCGGGGGUAUCGACCCCUCCGGUGCCGGAGCUAACGCAUUAAGUCCUCCGCCUGGGGACUACGGCCGCAAGGCUAAAACUCAAAGGAAUUGACGGGGGCCCGCACAAGCAGCGGAGCGUGUGGUUUAAUUCGAUGCAACGCGAAAAACCUUACCUACCCUUGACAUGCCUGGAACCCCGCAGAGAUGCGGGGGUGCUCGAAAGAGAACCAGGACACAGGUGCUGCAUGGCCGUCGUCAACUCGUGUCGUGAGAUGUUGGGUUAAGUCCCGCAACGAGCGCAACCCUUAUCAUUAGUUGCUACGCAAGGGCACUCUAAUGAGACUGCCGGUGACAAACCGGAGGAAGGUGGGGAUGACGUCAAGUCCUCAUGGCCCUUAUAGGUGGGGCUACACACGUCAUACAAUGGCCGGUACAAAGGGCUGCCAACC
rnacentral:rRNA from 1 species